rnacentral:rRNA from 1 species
UGCAAGUCGAACGGCAGCACAGGAUAGCUUGCUAUCCGGGUGGCGAGUGGCGGACGGGUGAGUAACGCGUAGGAAUCUACCUUUUCGUGGGGGAUAACCCGGGGAAACUCGGGCUAAUACCGCAUACGCCCUACGGGGGAAAGCGGGGGACCUUCGGGCCUCGCGCGGAAUGAUGAGCCUGCGUCCUAUCAGGUAGUUGGUGAGGUAAUGGCUCACCAAGCCGACGACGGGUAGCUGGUCUGAGAGGACGACCAGCCACACUGGGACUGAGACACGGCCCAGACUCCUAAGGGAGGCAGCAGUGGGGAAUAUUGGACAAUGGGGGAAACCCUGAUCCAUCAAUACCGCGUGUGUGAAGAAGGCCUUCGGGUUGUAAAAAACAUUUACCAGGAAAGAACGGCCGUGCGCUAAUAUCGCUUGGU